UACGUAGGGUCCGAGCGUUGUCCGGAAUUAUUGGGCGUAAAGGGCUCGUAGGCGGUUUGUCGCGUCGGGAGUGAAAACUUGGGGCUUAACCCCAUUCGUGCUUCCGAUACGGGCAGACUAGAGGCAGGCAGGGGAGAACGGAAUUCCUGGUGUAGCGGUGGAAUGCGCAGAUAUCAGGAGGAACACCGGUGGCGAAGGCGGUUCUCUGGGCCUGUUCUGACGCUGAGGAGCGAAAGCAUGGGGAGCGAACAGG
rnacentral:rRNA from 2 species